CUUUCAGCGAUGGAUAUCUUGGCUC
rnacentral:rRNA from 3 species